rnacentral:rRNA from 1 species
GAUGAACGCUAGCUACAGGCUUAACACAUGCAAGUCGAGGGGAAACGACAUCGAAAGCUUGCUUUUGAUGGGCGUCGACCGGCGCACGGGUGAGUAACGCGUAUCCAACCUGCCCACCACUUGGGGAUAACCUUGCGAAAGUAAGACUAAUACCCAAUGACGUCUCUAGAAGACAUCUGAAAGAGAUUAAAGAUUUAUCGGUGAUGGAUGGGGAUGCGUCUGAUUAGCUUGUUGGCGGGGUAACGGCCCACCAAGGCGACGAUCAGUAGGGGUUCUGAGAGGAAGGUCCCCCACAUUGGAACUGAGACACGGUCCAAACUCCUACGGGAGGCAGCAGUGAGGAAUAUUGGUAAAUGGACGAGAGUCUGAACCAGCCAAGUAGCGUGCAGGAUGACGGCCCUAUGGGUUGUAAACUGCUUUUAUAAGGGAAUAAAGUGAGUAUCGUGAGACUUUUUGCAUGUACCUUAUGAAUAAGGACCGGCUAAUUCCGUG